GACGAACGCUGGCGGCGUGCCUAAUACAUGCAAGUAGAACGCUGAAGGAGGAGCUUGCUUCUCCGGAUGAGUUGCGAACGGGUGAGUAACGCGUAGGUAACCUGCCUGGUAGCGGGGGAUAACUAUUGGAAACGAUAGCUAAUACCGCAUAACAGCAGAUAUCGCAUGAUAUCUGCUUGAAAGGUGCAAUUGUAUCACUACCAGAUGCACCUGCGUUGUAUUGGCUAGUUGGUGAGGUAACGGCUCACCAAGGCGACGAUACAUAGCCGACCUGAGAGGGGGGUCGGCCACACUGAGACGGUGACACGGCCCAGUGGCCUACGGGAGGCAGCAGUAGGGAAUCUUCAGGAAUGGGCGGGAGUCUGAGCGAGCAACGCCGCGUGAGUGAAGAAGGUUGUCGGAUCGUAAAGGUCUGUUUUAAGAGAAGAACGAGUGUGAGAGUGGAAAGUUCACACUGUGACGGUAUCUUACAAGAAAGGGACGGCUAACUACGUG
rnacentral:rRNA from 1 species